rnacentral:rRNA from 1 species
AAGGUUAACGAACCGUGGGGGUAAACCCGUGGCCCCAGUAAAGAGGGGGGAGUAACAUCCGGAAACGGGUGCUAAUACCGCAUAGUUUCUUGAUCGCAUGAUCGGGAAAGGAAAGACGGCCUUUGUGCUGUCGCUUAUGGAUGGACCCGCGGCGUAUUAGUUAGUUGGUGAGGUAACGGCUCACCAAGACGAUGAUACGUAGCCGACCUGAGAGGGUGAUCGGCCACAUUGGGACUGAGACACGGCCCAAACUCCUACGGGAGGCAGCAGUAGGGAAUCUUCCGCAAUGGACGAAAGUCUGACGGAGCAACGCCGCGUGAGUGAAGAAAAGGUUUUCGGAUCGUAAAACUCUGUUGUCAGAGAAGAACAAGUUGGAGAGUAACUGCUCCAGCCUUUGACGGUAUCUGACCAGAAAGCCACGGCUAACUACGUGCCAGCAGCCGC